AAAAGCCCUAGGCGGACUUCAUAUAAUGCCACGAUACUGAUAGGCACUCAGGAAAUAUUAAUUACUAUUGAUGAAAGUGGUGACUCCUUUAAUUUAGACGCAAACAGCCAGAAAGGACUAAACACCCUGGGCUCUUUGCCUCUGUUGCAUUUGGAGACUGAUUAACACAGUCUUACAAUUAAUUACUUGUCCCUUCCACCCCUGGCACCUCAAACUCGGGUGCAUUCAGGUCACUGAGCAGUUGUGUGGACGUGUGUUAGGCUUUCUUGAGUUUUAGCCAGAGAGCCAGGCUACUAGCAGCUGUGCUAGACUUUUAAGAUGUGGAAAACUUGGUAAAUAUGCUAAAGUAAGAGACAGGAACCAGGCCAGAAAAUGGGGUGUCCGAAGAGAGUGGGAGGCCAUGAGGGGAAGUGUGCGCCGCAGACACCGGAAGCUGGGAGUUACGGCAAGAUAAAUCUGUGAGGGGCAGCCAGGAUGCAAAUUUCCAUCAUUCUUAGCAAGUCAGAACCAGGAGACCUCACUCUCUGCCCAUCAUGAUAAUUGUAAUUCCCAGGAUGAUCACUGAGCAGCUCCAAGUUCAGGCUGCCUGAGUGUCCAGGUGUUGGGGCACCUCAGGAUUUCACCCCAGGCUUAAUCCAGCUCAGGCUACACGAUCCGCUUACCUUCAGGGACAGGAACCAAGAGAAUCUCCUCAGUUACACAGGAAUGAGGAACUGAGAGUGGGAGGUAAUACAGAAGGGCUGCUGGGAUCAUAGGAGCAAGCCAAUGCAAAAGCCAGAGGAAUCCACACAACAGCAAGUACAUGAAUUAUUAUAGCAUCAUUAUUCAAAAGAGCCAAAAAGUGUUAAGGACUCAAAUGUUCAUCAACUGAUGAAUGGAUAAAUAAAAUGUGGUGUAUCUAUACACUGAAAUGUUAUUCAGCAAUAAAAACAAAUGAUGUACUGAUAUAUGCUACAACAUGGACGGAUACAAAUCACCAAUAUCAGGAAUGAAAGGGGUUAUCCCUACAGAGCCUGCGAACAUUAAAAUAAUAGUAGGGAAUAUUAUGAACAACUUUAUGCCAUCAAAUUGAACAAUUUAGAUGCAAUUGGACAAACUCCUUGAACAACUUAUAAAAACGGACAAAGGAUGAAAGAGAAAAUUUGAAUAGCCCUGUAUCUAUUAAAGUAAUUGAAAUUUGUUAUCAAAACCUCAGAAAGAAAAUUCCAGGCUUAUAUUGCUUCACUGGUGAAUUCUAUCAAAUACUUAAGAAAAAAAUAAUUCUUUUUGAAAAUAGAGUAGGAGGAAACACUUCUAACUCAUUUUAUGAGGCCAAUGAGGCCCUAACACCAAAACUCGACAAAACAUUAACAAAAAAAGAAAAUUACAGGCCAACAUCUCUCAUGAAUGUAGACACAAGAAUCCUUAACAAAAUAUUAGCUAAUCAAAUCCAGCAAUAUAUAAAAAAGGAUAAAUAUUAUGACCAAGUAGAUUUUACCCCAGAAGUGCAAAGUUGAUUUCACAUUCAAAAAUCAACCUGUGUAGUUUAUCACAUAUAUGGAAUAGAAGAGAGACACCACAUAAUUAUUUUAAUAGAUGGAGAAAAAGUAUUUGGAAAAAAUUCAAUACUCCGUUGUGAUAAGACAAAAACAAAAGCAAAAAACUAUCAGCCAAAUAGGAGAAAGGAACUCUUUCAAUCUGAUAAAGAGCAUCUAUGAGAAACCUGGAGUUAACAUCCUACUUAAUGGUGAAACUGAAUACUGUCUCCCUAAGAUCAGGAACAAAGUAAGAACAUCCAAUCUCUAUUCUAUUCAAGGUCCUAGCUUUUGCAAUAAGGCAAGAAAAAGAAACAAAAGCGUAAAGAUCACAAAGAGCUAAGAUCGUCUCUGUUUGCAAGUGUAAAUGGUAGCUGUUACUUGGGAUGCAGCAUUACAAAUAGUCCAUGUCGACUCAAGAACAGCCUGUGGGAACCCUUUGCUGAGGCUUCUAAACUAGAGAGCGGCUAGUGGUCAGGCUUUUCAAGGCUUCAGUAACCACUCUGCCUGGAGUUCUCCUAUUACAGAUGAGCUGCAUUUACAUGUGCUCAGGUCUUGGGCAUCCACAGAACCUGCAGCCUGUGUCUCCUUCCUGGUCUGGAGCAAUCGAAUGACAGACACCACAUAGGUCCCCCUCUGCUGUGGAGGUACUGGACCUAAAUGAAUUUCCAGUGGAUUAUUCUAGCUUUUUUAGCUAUGUAGGCCUAGACAAUGUUAUAAGUUUUUGCUUUUAAUAGUCAUAUGAAUUUUCAAGAAAUUAAAAUGGAAAAUAGUCUUUUAUAUUUCCCUGGAUAUUAACCUUUUUUAUUUUCUUUUUCCUUUUCUUCCUUCCUGAAGAUCUGAGUUUCCUGGUGAUAUAAUUUUCUUUUGCCUGAAGAAUUUACUUUAGAAUUUCUUACGGUACAGAUCUACUGGCAAUGACUUCCCCUAGUUUUCUUUUAUCCGAAGAUAUCUUCAUUUUGCUUUCAUUCUUGAGUAAUAUUUUCACUAGGUACAGAAUUCUAGGUUGAAUGUUUUUCUUUCAGCAUUUUAAAGAUGGUGUCCCACUGUCUUCUGACCUCACAUUGUUUCUGAUGAACAGCCAGUGAUAGCUUGAAUCGUUGAUCCCCCAUGUGCCAUUUUUCUCUGUCUGCUUCCAAACUUUCCUCUCUAUCUUAGAUUUUCAGCACUUGUUGUCCUUAGGCAUGGCUUUAUUCAUAUUUAUUCUGCUUGAGUUUCCUUGAUUUUCCUGAAUCUGAAAAUUCAUGUCUUUCACCAAGUUUCCUCCAUUAUUUCUUCAAAUUAUGCUUGGCCUCAUUUUCUUCCUCCUCUCCUGGGACUCUAAUUAUGUGUAUGUUUGACGUUUUGAUAUUGUCCCAAAGGUCUCUGAGGGUCUGUUCAUCUUUUUCAACCAUUUUCUUAUUUUUAUUCAGAUUGAUUAGCUUCUAUUGAUCUACUUCUAUUGAUCACUGACUUGUUCCUUUGUCAUCUACAUUCUGCUAUUAAGUCCAUCCGUUGGAAUUUUUGGGGGGACUUUCAGAUAUUACACUUUUCUUUUGUUUUUCACAUAUUACAAUUAAUUUUUAAAAGAAUUUCAGCUUCAUUCUCGUAAAGGUUAAUCUUAUAUGUCAACUUAACUGGGUCACGGUGCCCAGAUAUUUGUUCAAACAUUAUUCUUGAUGUUUCUGUGAGAGUGUUUUGAAUUUAAAUUUAAAUUAGUAGACUUUGAGUAAAGCAGAUUGCUCUCCAUAGUUUGGGUGGGCCUCAUCCAAUCAGUUGAAGGCUUGAAUAGAACCAAAGGCUGACCUCUCACUAGCAAGAAGGAAUUCUGCAGCAGCCUGCUUCAGACUUCAUCUGCAGUGUGGGCUCUUCCUGGAUCUACAGCAGACUGACUUUGGACUUCAUGUGUGACAUCGACUCAUUUCUGGAUCUCCAGCCUGAUGGCCUUCAGACUUGAACUGUAACAUCAGCUCAGCCCUGGGUCUCCAGACUGCUGGUCCACUCUGCAGAUUUUAGACUUGCUAACUUCUGUAAUCACAUGAGCCAAUUCCUUAAAAUAAAUCUCUAUGUAUACAGACAUCCUAUUGGUUCUGUUUCUCUGGAGAUCCC
ensembl:lncRNA